rnacentral:rRNA from 1 species
AUUGAACGCUGGCGGCAUGCCUUACACAUGCAAGUCGAACGGUAACAGGUCUUCGGAUGCUGACGAGUGGCGAACGGGUGAGUAAUACAUCGGAACGUGCCCGAGAGUGGGGGAUAACGAGGCGAAAGCUUCGCUAAUACCGCAUACGGUCUCAGGAUGAAAGCAGGGGACCGCAAGGCCUUGCGCUCACGGAGCGGCCGAUGGCAGAUUAGGUAGUUGGUGGGAUAAAAGCUUACCAAGCCGACGAUCUGUAGCUGGUCUGAGAGGACGACCAGCCACACUGGGACUGAGACACGGCCCAGACUCCUACGGGAGGCAGCAGUGGGGAAUUUUGGACAAUGGGCGCAAGCCUGAUCCAGCCAUGCCGCGUGCAGGAUGAAGGCCUUCGGGUUGUAAACUGCUUUUGUACGGAACGAAAAGACUCUGGUUAAUACCUGGGGUCCAUGACGGUACCGUAAGAAUAAGCACCGGCUAACUACGUGCCAGCCGCCGCGGUAAAAC